UGGGGAAUAUUGGACAAUGGGCGAAAGCCUGAUCCAGCCAUGCCGCGUGUGUGAAGAAGGUCUUCGGAUUGUAAAGCACUUUAAGUUGGGAGGAAGGGCAGUAAGCGAAUACCUUGCUGUUUUGACGUUACCGACAGAAUAAGCACCGGCUAACUCUGUGCCAGCAGCCGCGGUAAUACAGAGGGUGCAAGCGUUAAUCGGAAUUACUGGGCGUAAAGCGCGCGUAGGUGGUUCGUUAAGUUGCAUGUGAAAGCCCCGGGCUCAACCUUGGACCUGCCUCCCAAACUGGCGAGCUCGAGUAGUGCAGAGGGUGGUGGAAUUUCCUGUGUAGCGGUGAAAUGCGUAGAUAUAGGAAGGAACACCAGUGGCGAAGGCGACCACCUGGGCUCAUACUGACACUGAGGUGCGAAAGCGUGGGGAGCAAACAGG
rnacentral:rRNA from 1 species